rnacentral:rRNA from 1 species
GUAGGUGGCAAGCGUUGUCCGGAAUUAUUGGGCGUAAAGCGCGCGCAGGCGGUUCUUUAAGUCUGAUGUGAAAGCCCACGGCUCAACCGUGGAGGGUCAUUGGAAACUGGAGAACUUGAGUACAGAAGAGGAAAGCGGGGUUCCACGUGUAGCGGUGAAAUGCGUAGAGAUGUGGAGGAACACUAGUGGCGAAGGCGGCUUUCUGGUCUGUGACUGACGCUGAGGCGCGAAAGCGUGGGGAGCAAACAGGGAUUAGAUACCCUGGUAGUCCACGCCGUAAACGAUGAGUGCUAAGUGUUAGGGGGUUUCCCGCCCCUUAGUGCUGCAGCUAACGCAUUAAGCACUCCGCCUGGGGAGUACGGCCGCAAGGCUG